ensembl:ncRNA C26G2.5 ncRNA
UAAAACAAAAGCGAUGUCGGCUCACUGAAAAAGAGAAAUGAACUCAUCGUCGCCGCCGCCGAAAUUUACUCGAGAGCCUUCGAGAGUGGACAGAGAAUUAAUGCGGAGCUACGGAGGUGUUCGAGGGUAAGCAG